GCUGUUUAUAAAUGGAUCCCUUUCUUGAAAUCUUUUGGUAGGUGAUAUACGGGUGCACUUUGUUGCUGCAGAAAUUUUCUUCUCGUCGAGCUCUUUUCGACCAUCUGCUAUCACAUGAAGAUUUUGCAAGUGGUGUUCCUUGUACCACAGAGGGACGUAAUGCUGCUUCCAAGAACUAUAGAACCAAUUCCUCCAUGAGUCAUCCUGACGAAACGCCAACACAUUCAACACAAAAAGUAUUGUCUUGAAAGUUUUGUUCUGUGGCUUCUUGCAGCCAGCCGUGUGGAUAGUGAAGAAGCAGAUACUGCACGCUGAAAACAUCACCUCACCACAGAUGCAUCGUGCACUGACACUAUCUUGUGGUCUCCAGAGACGAGUACAACCUGCGCUAUGGGAAACCGGUACACAUCUUUGUGGAGACUGGCCCUGAGACGUUUCUGAAGAUCAGGAGUAGAGAUCACAAAACGAAAAACUUUGUGUCAGUAACAUGUCUUGAGGAGCUAAUCAGAGUUGCUGUGGGUCAUGGAAUUUGUCAGGAGGGCAACAUACAGGUGUAUUUAAUGGAUGAGUUAUCACUUCGCUCUAUGGUUGCUGGUGCUGAGAUAUGCCUCGAUGACAUUUUCAUUGUUAAAAAUCGACUAUGGAAACAAGAUCAGUCAACAUGUGUGAGUGCACCUUCACCAAUUCCACAAAUGCCUCUGCUCUCACGAAUUUAUUACCCUUGGGAGAGCCUCAGCAAGACAGUACUUGAUGUAUUGGAAGCAGACAAUGUUCUGCUUCCCUCUCAACGACAGGAAGUGGCACACAUGGCAGCGUCAUGGCCCUACAUAUCCAUUGAAGGUGGGAUGCACUCCUGAUAUUUAUUCACAGGCACCUGGUUGGUAUCAUUGAGAACGAAGGGAGCCAGCAGCCAUAAAAAAAUCAAGAGGGCUACAUACAUAAAUGUGUGAGGCAGUGAGGGCAGCAGAUGAAUAUAGCAAGAAGUGGGAACAUCUCAUGUGAUACAUAGCGGUCAAAUGUUCCGCCACCAAAGUCAUGCACAAGUUAUUUGUAGUAUUUCCAGUAAUUUCCAAA